GACGAACGCUGGCGGCGUGCCUAAUACAUGCAAGUCGAACGCAGUGGGGACGGGUGAGUAACACGUGGGUAACCUCCCAUCAGAGGGGAUAACACUUGGAAACAGGUGCUAAACCGAUACUGAUGGAUGGACCCGCGGUGCAUUAGCUAGUUGGUGAGGUAACGGCUCACCAAGGCCACGAUGCAUAGACGAUCGGAUAGGGGGGUCGCCCAAACUGGGAGCGAACAAAGGCCAAGACUCAUACGGAAUGCAGCAGUAGGGAAUCUUCGGCAAUGGACGCAAGUCUGACCGAGCAACGCCGCGUGAGUGAAUAAGGUGUGCGGAUCGUAAAACUCUGUUGUUAGGGAAGCGGUAUCUUACCAGAAAGCCACGGCUAACUACGUGCCAGCAGCCGCGGUAAUUC
rnacentral:rRNA from 1 species